CAUUAGAAGUCAGGCAUAGAAUUUCUGCUCCCAGCUGAUUCAGUCGCCAUUUUUGUUGCGAACGUAAACACUAGUGGGCCGUACUGACUUCUCAGGUUUACUUGGACGACUGCGACGAUUGUUCCCCUCACCUGCGGUCGCGCUCUCUGUUUUUCCACUGAAGAUGAAGGCGGAUCCCGUGACUUGAGCCGCCGUCAGUGUGAUGGGGUACCGCGUGGAUUUCCUCACCUGGAGGGAGCGUGGGUUUAAAUAGGGGCGGUGAGGCAGCCGGUUUGAAAUGGACCAAGACUACGAGAGACGUCUUCUAAGGCAAAUCCACCUCCAGAACCUGCCCGCUGAAGCGCGGCUGACCAGGUGUGAAAGUGUUACCUGCAGUCCAGUCUGUGUGAAGUCCGGGGACCGCUUCAUCCCAGCCCGUGCUGGAAGCAACUGGAGCAUCAACUUCCACUAUGCCAACGAGAACUGUCACUCUCCCAGCCAGAAUCAUAAAGCAAAGGAUGCCACUUCAGAUUCUGGCAAAGAUACAGUGGCGUAUGCUGCCCUAUUGAGGAAUGAAUUACUGGGUGCAGGCUUAGAGUCAGUGUCGGACCUUCACGCAGACGACAGGCGGCGUGCCGUCUGCGCUCAUGACACUCACGGCCUAUUUAGGUACACUGUCCACACUAAGAGAGUGCCUUUCGACAACGAUAACGAAGUCUCACCCUACUCGCUUUCUCCGCUUACUAACAAGAGUCACAAGCUGCUACGCUCGCCUCGUAAACCGGCGCGGAAGAUCUCCAAGAUCCCCUUCAAGGUGUUGGACGCCCCGGAGCUACAGGAUGACUUCUACCUCAACCUGGUUGACUGGUCAGCGGGAAACCUGCUGAGUGUCGGCCUGGGAGCCUGCGUCUACCUGUGGAGCGCCUGCACCAGCCAGGUGACAAGGUUGUGCGACCUUUCAGUGGACGGUGAUUCUGUGACGUCAGUAUGCUGGAAUGAGAGGGGAAGUCUGGUCGCUGUAGGAACUCACAAAGGUUACGUUCAGAUCUGGGAUGCGGCAGGCGGGCGAAAGCUUACCAGUUUAGACGGUCACUCAGCUCGUGUGGGUGCCCUGGCGUGGAAUGGGGAGCAGCUAUCUUCGGGAAGUCGGGACAGAGUAAUCCUCCAACGGGACGUAAGAACCCCCCCGUCUGCCGAGAGAAGGCUGCAGGGUCACAGGCAGGAAGUGUGUGGUCUCAAAUGGUCCCCCGACCACCAGCAUCUUGCCUCUGGGGGCAAUGACAACAAGUUACUGGUGUGGAACAGCUCGAGCCUACUCCCAGUGCAGCAGUAUAGCGACCACCUGGCUGCAGUGAAGGCGAUUGCGUGGUCGCCUCACCAGCAUGGGCUGCUGGCGUCAGGCGGCGGCACCGCUGACCGCUGCCUGCGCUUCUGGAACACACUGACGGGUCAGGCGCUACAGAGCACAGACACCGGCUCGCAGGUCUGCAACCUGGCGUGGUCCAAACACGCCAAUGAACUGGUGAGCACUCAUGGUUACUCUCAGAACCAGAUCUUGGUGUGGAAGUACCCGUCGCUGACACAGGUGGCCAAGUUGACGGGGCACUCGUACAGAGUGCUCUACCUGGCCGUGUCACCUGACGGCGAGGCCAUCGUCACCGGCGCGGGGGAUGAGACCCUUCGCUUUUGGAACGUCUUCAGCAAAACGCGUUGCACCAAGGAGUCAAAGUCUGUGCUGAACCUUUUCACAAGAAUCCGAUGAGCUGCAGUGACACACUACUCCAACACGACACUUUUUUUUGUUUUGUUUUUUUAAACCAACAAUAUGCACUACAAGCUUUCCUUCCCCCUCAUCAGUGAUGUCACCCUCGUGGACAAAAACAGAGUGGUGAACAGGCUGGACAACAUUCCCAGGAUGUGAAUGAUGGACUGUUUAUUGGCGGGAUCAGGCUGCACAGAUAGAAAGAAGUGUGUCCAGCUGCUGGAUGUGAGGGGUGAUGAGUGAGUGCAGCUUUCCCAAAACCUCUUCUACCGGCACAGCUGACAGCAGGAAGCCCAGAGCCUGCAUGAGCCACAUGCACUGGCUGCUCUGCACAUAUACACACGUCCUAUGGAGAAAGAUGACUCUGAUUGGAAAUGCAUCAGUUGAUCCAUGAUUUGAGCAAACACGUGAAGCCAACCUGGGACACGGUGAGGAUGUCUUGAGCGUAAGGGCCGAGGUCGUGAUGACACUCCCUGCAGAUCCUCUUCAGAGUAGAAACGCUGGACACGGAGAGCUCGGGCCUCUCGAGACCCUGGAGCACCAUGGGUAGCAUACCACCAAGCAUCACCGGGUGGUCCACCAGCCACUCAGCCAGGGACCCUUAGCAACACAGACAUGCAGUUAAAAAUGCCUGUAUAGUAUAGUGGAGUGCACAGCAUAACAUCGAUAAUACUUCAGCCACCUAUUGUGUACAUGACUGUGUCAGCCAGCAUGACGUUACUGAUGUUGAUUCUGGGGAUCAGGCCAAUCAGACCAGGAAUGACAUCAGAGUAGUUCACAUCGAUGGUCUCUGCUAUGGACUGGAAGCCAAAUAACAACGCCUCUGUGUCCUACAAAGGUGACGGUGGGAUAUUAAACCACAGGAAAAUAACAACGGAAUGUACAUAAUAUGACACACACGACAGUCUUCCUUCGUUUAUCGCUGGGGAUAGGUUCCCAAAAUAGCCUGCAAUAAGUGAAAUCCGCAAAGUAGCCAACUUCAUUUUUGAUUAUACUGCACUGUACGUGUUUUAAGGCUGUAAAACCCCUCACCAUACACUUUAUACACUUUUCUCAUACAGGCAAUAAUACAUACUCUCAAAAGAGUUCAAACCUUCGUUUGAAUUUUAAUGAUCAACCUGCAGGUCGGACACAAGAAAUUAUAAAGUCACUCACGCGUAUUUCACUCAUGUGGCCGUGCCUUUUCGUCCUGGCGCCGUUCCGCUGUACUGUGGCGUUUUUGGAUCUUUGUUAAAACAUAUUGCUGCAGACGAACCGAAGAUUCAUUUACAAGCUACAAGCUCGCGAUGACGCAGGCGACAUGGCAGGACGGCACGAAAGAGAUUGAUUGACAAUGGUCUACAGCCAAUCAGGACACAGAAAACAAUGGGCGGUGCAGACAGACCACAGAGGGAAGAGAGAGACACUCAACCUUCCAGAAUGCAAUUUUUCUUAAAGGGCCAGGCUCGGCCUGUAACACCGUGCAUUAUGCUGUAAUAAAAAAAAAAGAAGCAAGAAAAAAACUCUGCAAAAGGUGAACCAGAUAGAGCGAGGGAACACUGUAUCUGGUACACGACAGGAAGUGAACACGGAAGGCACUUUUUCCAUCCUAAAAAUGAAAGGCUACAAGGGCUACUUUGAUAUUUGGUAAAAUAUGCUAAGAAGUUAUUUCAAGCAAAAACUUCAUGAUAUACAGUACGUGAAAAAGCCGAUUAUUAGUAUGAACUUUGCUCUAUGCUCUAUUUUUUUCCCCAUUUCUGCUGUUUGUUUGUUUGUUUUUAAAAUUUUCCAGCUAUUCACACUUUCUUAGCAAAUAAUGCUCAUACAUUUUCUUCUCGUAAGGUUUAGGGGGCAAUCCCUUUUUCACACUGGGCCAUGUCGGUUUGGUUAAGUGUCAUUUAGAAACUGCAUUUUGUGUUCCGUUGUGUUGUCAUUUUGUUUGAUGAUCUGAAACAUUCAAGUGUGACAAACAGGCCAAAAAGUAAGAAAUCAGUUUGGGGGCAAACGCUGUCCCUACAUUAGCUUGGCUGUACUGUAAAUCCCCCCGCUACAAGGGGUGUAUGAAAAGUUUGAAGCAUCGUGUAUAAGAAGCGUUGAUGCAUGGUCACACCUAUGAUUUUUUGAAAGUUCAGCCUUAUUUUUGAAUAAGCGAGGGUCAAGUAUUCAGUGAAAAAUGGAGAAAACAGAAAUUCAUGCAGUGGCGCAGUGUACUCAGUGGCUGCCAUGGCAACAAUUCACGAUUGUGGAUUCGAACUUGUUCCCCAUCCACCCUAUUCGCCAGACCUGGCCCCCUGCGAUUCCCGUCGUUUCCCCCAAGUGAAAAAAGCCUUGGCUGGUCGCUAUUUUGCCAGUGAUGAUGAUGUCAUUGCUGCAGUUGAGGGGUUUCUUGAGUCCCAAACAAAAGAGUUCUUCUACACCGGGAUAAAAGCGCUUCAGCGCCGUUGGAGCAAGUGUUCAGCCCUUGAGGGGGACUAUGUUGAAAAAGAAAUGAUCAAAAAUCUCUUAUCUGUUUGAGUUUUUCUGAUGCUUAAAAUUGUUCAUACACCGCUCGUACCUCAAUAUACUUCAGGGUUUUAAAUAAAUAAAUAAAUGACUUAAAUUCAUUAUGAAUUUAUUAUUUUUACUGAAAUUAAUCAUUUAUUUAAUGAAUACAUUAAUUAAAUGCCUAGUAUUUUUUUAUGCUAUGAUGUGAAAUAUACUACUUCUAUAUACUACUAUCGGAUCAGCAUCCCCGAUAUCAGCCUGAAUUUUACUCAGCAUCGGAUCGGAAACGAAAUCAGUGGUGUUGCACAUCACUAGUUAUUUUUCCUCGUGAUAUUACGGCAUUAUUCUUGUGACAGGUUUUGUUUCUGUUGGUUCGUUAUCCUUCAUGCUUCCAAAUAAGUGUAAUAAAUAAAUAAUACAGGUAAAAUGUACAGCAUACAUGUAGCAUUGUUAGUGAGAGACUGUUGCUUCACUGAUAAUGUUUUUACGUGAAGCGUUGAGACUUUGCACUUUGUUCGGCUGUCUUUGAACUCACCAUAGUUCUGAGACGCAAAAUUCUGUUUGGCUACGGAAGCACAAGUUUCCUGUGGAUUAUUUAGACACGGUUAGGAGAAAGGUCUUCUCUGGCAUGCGAGCCUCUAGCGCUGGCCUCAUGACCAGGCUAAAGGCUACACCGUGACUCCGAUUCCAUCUGUUCACCGCUCAUCUUACAUUAUCAUUCAUUAGCGGCGAGUACCUACAGUAUACUGUACAUACUUAGGGCUUAAACCUGGAUGGUGUCACGAGUGAGGGCCUGACUCAAUUUCUGUUCUAGUUCAUCCCAAACUCAUCCAACCAUGGACUUCUCCCAACUGUUGAAGGUGUUCGCCAACCUGCCAUCCUGUUGACUGCUGGGGGUCCAUCAGCUGUCUCCCCAGGCGGUCAUAAAGGUUACUGAGCAGCUCAGCUCCCAACAUUUCAUAGACAUACAUCAACGUGUCAGAGAUGUCCACCCUGGAAGACUCUGAACUGUUCCUUGUCAUCAGAACUCCAGGAUGCAUAUUCUUCCAGGGAAGGAUAGUGUGAUUUAUGUAGCAGCACAUCCACCAGCUGGAAGUAAACUGGCCUGUAGACGUGCAGGUAAACGACCUGCUUCUCCUCCUCGAACGACAAGAUGUCAUCCUAAACAGAAAUGCAACAGUCAACAACUCCUGUUGCAGAUUUCAAGUAGCAAACAGUCCUCACCUGCAGAGUGUACCAGAAGAUAGUGGGUAUGUGAUCUCCGUUCGGCCCCACCCCUGCGCCUCUUCUGCCCGACUCCCUCAGGAUAUUUUUAGCCCUGAUGAUGUGUCCUCGUGUAUCACGUAACGGAAACAAGCUCCCACCAACAGAACACAACCUGGUCCACUUUGUUGUAGUCAUCUGAAGAGGGGAUGAGAUGGAAUCUCUUAUGCAUUUGGAGUUUUGCUUCUUGGUGCUUCUUGCUGGUUCAUCCCAGGCAAGAGGUCAAAGUGUGGCUUUGCCUCCAGUUGCCCCCCUGCCGGCCUCACAGCAUCCCGCUGGCGCCUCAGGGGUUCCUGACCUGAUGAAAGGUCAUGUGGAUGACGGCCAACAUCUAAUACACCGUCCAGCAGAUGAUACCACAACCGCGCCACACACUGAAAAGACACUUUUUCAUCAGACGAUUGUCGCAACGAUGGCGAGGCCUACAGAAGUGACAUCUCAGCUUUUCACAACAGCACAGCCUGGAACCCAAGCAGCUGCUCCACACAACAGUUCCCCCACCACCACAACAGAGGGCAGGGCGGCAAUGACCAAGCAUGCCUUGAGCACCUUUUCAUCCCAGGAUGCAAACACCUCCACUCAGCCUCAACCAAUGACACCAUGGAGAGUAACAACCACAGCAGGACGCCCUCUGACCUCUCGCGCAGGCCGAGACCCCGCUGGGCCGCAACACCUGGAGGUCCCCUCUGAACUUAACGUAGGCGAUGAAGAACUGCGAAGGCUUUACUUGAGCUCACGCGCUCCUCUAAACCCCCUCCUUGCUGGUCUGCUCUGCGUCUUCAUUGUCACCACUGCGGUCAUCUUCAUCAUCCUCUUUAUGCGUUUUCGCCAACGGACCAACCACCCGGAGUUCCAUCGGCUCCAGGAUCUUCCCAUGGACGAUUUGAUGGAAGACACGCCCCUCUCCAGAUACACUUACUGAUGGGCGCCCGCUCUUUUCUUAGCGAGCAAAACCAAAUUCCAAAGGAGGAACGGCAUGAAUCCGUGCAGACUGAGAGUCAGUGAUACAAGUGUGUGUCAUUGGUUCCAAGAACGGGAUACAAACUUUACUGCAGGAACGUUAGUGUUUCUUUUUUUCCACAUUCCAUGUACAGUUCGAUAUUACAUCAUCUUCACCUCUGAUUGACUACUUAGGUACACACAGCACUUUAAUGUGACAUGAAACGUCACCAUAGCCUUUCAGUGACUCAGGUUUCCAUAGUGACAGACCAAGACGGCAUAAGAAACCCUUCAUUUAUCAUCUCCGUAGCAGACCAAAUAUGAAGAAGCGCAACGUUGCCAUGAUGUCUUCAAGAAAAUGAGAGUCCCUUCAGUUGGGGAGCCUUACUUCCUCCAAAAAAUAACCAAAGUGUAUCAGCACGGCUUUCAGUUACUCAUCUCUUGACUAACCCAAACAUGUGGAGUGGAUAUUUGACUGUGGGUGUCAAAUCAACUGGAAAAUGUACGGGACUGAAAUUACAAAUAACGCAUGCUCCACCAAAUAAGUACAUUGAAGUCACCAAUAUAGUUCAAUGUGUUGUAAAAUGUAAAUAUCAUUUGUGACGUCAUCGCAAGCAGCAAAGAGAAAUGUCUAAAUUACAUAAAAACCUGUAAUUCAUCGGUAUUAUAUCGAGUUUUAUGCAAAUGUGCUAGAGCCAAGCUGUUUUUACCUUGUGCUGUUGCAAACAGUGAUUACUAUUAGGCGGUUUAAUUGUGCACUGUAAGAUAUCAUCCUGUUUGAUAAUAAAAUAGAAUCUUAAACCAGUGGUUUCUAUUUUCUUCUUUGUUUUUGCACAUUUUUGCUAUGGCGGCCGGGAAGAGCAAAACACUGUAUUUUUACAAAGGUGGGAGAAAGUCAACGUUUUUGGAAUUGUCUCAAGCAAAAACAUGCAGGUCCAAGUCGAGUCAAGUCCCAAGUCACAGGCUUGGAAUUUUCGAAUUGAAUGUGGCAGAUUCUGUGUGAAAAUGUGUUGCCUUGCUGGAAAUGACUCACUAAAAAUAUCAAGUAUUUUCAAGCCGUCGGACUAAAACGUCUGAGUCAAGUCCCAAGUCAUUGAUGUUAAAGUCCAAGUGGAGUUGCAAGUCUUUGAUAAUAUUGUUAAGUCAAGUCCAAAGUCAUCAAAAAUGUGACUCGAAUCUGACU